CCAAUAGCGUAUAUUAAAGUUGUUGCAGUUAAAAAGCUCGUAGUUGAAUUUCGAGACCGGCUUACUGGUCGUGCUUUUGUGCGUACUGGUAUAAUCGGUUUCUCCUUUCUGACGAACUUUAAUGCCAUUAAUUUGGUGUUUUAGGAAAUCAGGACUGUUACUUUGAAAAAAUUAGAGUGUUUAAAGCAGGCUCACGCUUGAAUACAUUAGCAUGGAAUAA
rnacentral:rRNA from 1 species